ACGUGCACAGCCGAAUCGCAUCCUCCUCACUCGCCCUAAGCUCCCCUCCUCUUCGCUCUUUCUCUCCACUGCGCACGUAUCCCCACACCCUUGUUUCCUUCUCUCACGUACACGGCUGCUUCUCUCGUGCUCUUCUUCUCGAAGUGACAUGUUGGCAAGUCGAGCAGCAACUGCUCUCCUCGCUCGCAAAACGUCAGCUCUCCACACCGGGGGGGGGAGGCGGGCCGCCGACUCUGCCCCUGCAACACCGGAGGUGCCGGCGCGGUGCACCACAUCGCCUUUUGAUGAAAGGGACGUGCUUCUGCCUUGGAUAGAGCACAGCGAUGACGGCGCACCUCGAGGGGAGCACACCGGCAAGGGGAUGUCUCUGAUGCGCGUGCGUGCUUGGCUCUCUCUCACAUUCAGCACUGCGCUGCCAACUAUCAGGACCGUGCUCUGCGGCCGGCUGAGCGACUGCACAAACGCAAUGCACCCCGAUGAUGACUGGCGCUAACUCGCCGGUAAGGCCUACAUGAUUCUCACCCUGCUCUCGACUGUGUGCUGAUGCCCGUCUUCCUUGCGGUGCUGGUGUGGUGCCGACAGCACCACGGCCCGUCAGCGCCGCGUCUAGCUGCCCUCCUGGGCUCUUCGCGGUGGGAAAUGCUGAUCGUUGUGUCGCUGCUGCUGCUCUUCUCCUGCGGGCCUUCAGGGGGAGCCCCGCGUGGGGGGUGAGGGAUGCCUUCACAUACAGCGCCGGCGAACUUGCGUGGACUGCGUUAUAGACUGCCUUGGCCGCGCCCAGCUUCUGCGUUGGUAGGUUCAGCGUGCGGUGGGCUGUGGUGGGCAAGCAGCACGCGCAAGGCGUGUAGUGGCCUACGCUCACUUCGCCACUACCUCAACGCAUUUUUGGUCCCCGUUUCGCAGCUCCACGCACUCACUUCUCGCGUGAGACAACCUUGCGCCCCCCCCCCCACCGAGGUUCCUGCCUCCGUUUCUCUGCAUAACUCUACUACCCCCUUCCUCUAAAUGCUGUUUCCAACCGCCCCUCACUGGCUCUCAGCUGUCUCCCCGAUCACGAUCGUACCGCACGGCGCGUGUAUGUGCAUGCGUUGCUGCUGAAGUCGUACUCGUGCUGCGCCCUCGUAUUUCUUCUGUUCCUUUCCCCUCUUUUCCGUAGCUCAUCCCCACCGCUCCCGCCGCCUAGCCUUCUCUCUCUUCUGCAGUAUGCCUGUUAGCGUGCCGCAGUGCUCGCCACUCUCUUC
rnacentral:misc_RNA from 1 species